GUGUAUAGUUGUGUGUACAGUUGUGUGUAUAGUUGUGUGUAUAGUUGUGUGUACAGUGUUGUGUAUAGUUGUGUGUACAGUUGUGUGUAUAGUUGUGUGUAUAGUUGUGUGUACAGUGUUGUGUAUAGUUGUGUGUACAGUUGUGUGUAUAGUUGUGUGUACAGUUGUGUGUACAGUUGUGUGUACAGUUGUGUG